rnacentral:rRNA from 1 species
GACGAACCGUGCGACCGUUGUUCGGAAUCACUGGGCUUAAAGGGCGCGUAGGCGGGCUAUCAAGUCCGGGGUGAAAUCCUCCAGCUUAACUGGAGAACGGCCUCGGAUACUGAUGGUCUCGAGGGGGAUAGGGGCACACGGAACUGUGGGUGGAGCGGUGAAAUGCGUUGAUAUCCAUAGGAACUCCGGUGGCGAAAGCGGUGUGCUGGAUCCCUUCUGACGCUGAGGCGCGAAAGCCAGGGGAGCGAACGGG